GCUAUGUGAAAGGUACACAUGUUACCCCACGAGGUGGCGGCCGCAAUAAGGGCGCACGCUCGAGCUCGUAAACAUAGCUCAGCUCGCUAAUAACGCAGUCGAGCCGUUGAAAUUCAACACACUUGUGACUUGUAGGAAUCAGUUUGUUUCACUUUUUAGUUUUAACUGCACUUCGGUUGGAUUUUAAGGGUUGAGUAGAAAAUGACAAGGUCUGAAACCAGACAUAAUUUGUAGCUUUCUGAAUUUUGAAACAUUGAGUCAGAAAGCAGUAUCAGGUUAAGACUUGCUUCUUCACGGGUCUACGAGCUGAAUCGCCGUUGAGAGUGUCUGUGCUGGAUGAGGAGCCUGCAGCUGGGUUGUUGGAUGAACCUGCCUUGAUAGUAGAUUCCCAAUCAUUCUGUUACAUGUGUGAUGACUGGUUCUUCGGUUAUUUUUGGAGACGACUUCAUGGAACGAUCUCUCUUCCCCUUCGUACGCGUUAAGCAUUACUUGUUGGCACCUUCGUUGCGAACGCACACGAGCGCACACUGGGUCUUUAGAUGGAGCUGUGAAGCACACUGCCAGUCUAAACAAAGGAAACUUCCGGACUUCAUUGCCCAUUUGAUGGACUGGAGUCGACUCCGGAACCGAAACAGGCUUUUUGUGGUUUAAUUUUUGAAUUUUGCAGUAUAUUCUUUCUUUCUAAAUUUCUGUGUUUUAAAACAGCAAGUGCAGCACUCAGACGAUAGUUUGAUGUUUAUUUGUGGUUUUUUUUCUGUAAUUUCAGUGCCAUCUUUUGUGCGUUGAAUUGAAGUAUGUCCAAAAUUACGAGUAAUG